rnacentral:tRNA from 1 species
GGAGCGUUUGCACGACUGGUGUCGGCCCAGGUCUUCAAAACCUGUGUAGGGUGUGAACAACGCUCUAGGUGGGUUCGAUUCCCAUCCGCUCCC